CCAAACUUAAAUCGUUGCGUGUCCUCAUGCGACAAAGCAUAAGAUCACCACACAAAACUAAACCUCAUGCACAUGCAAACUAUUUAUAUUUAUUUGUUCGUAAUUCCAGCAAUCCAAGAGCUCACGUAGAUCCAUAUGCCUCAGAAAAUCACUUAAACAUGCUAAUUCAUCAUGUAAAAACAGAUCAACAAUAUCCCAACAAUCAACGGAUCUAAAUCUG
rnacentral:lncRNA from 1 species